ACGAACGCUGGCGGCGUGCUUAACACAUGCAAGUCGAACGCUGAAGCUCAGCUUUUGUUGGGUGGAUGAGUGGCGAACGGGUGAGUAACACGUGAGUAACCUGCCCCCUUCUUUGGGAUAACGCCCGGAAACGGGUGCUAAUACUGGAUAUUCACUGGUCUUCGCAUGGGGGUUGGUGGAAAGGGUUUUUCUGGUGGGGGAUGGGCUCGCGGCCUAUCAGCUUGUUGGUGGGGUGAUGGCCUACCAAGGCUUUGACGGGUAGCCGGCCUGAGAGGGUGACCGGGCACAUUGGGACUGAGAUACGGCCCAGACUCCUACGGGAGGCAGCAGUGGGGAAUAUUGCACAAUGGGCGCAAGCCUGAUGCAGCGACGCCGCGUGAGGGAUGGAGGCCUUCGGGUUGUGAACCUCUUUCGCUCAUGGUCAAGCCGCAACAAUGGUUGUGGUGAGGGUAGUGGGUAAAGAAGCGCCGGCUAACUACGUG
rnacentral:rRNA from 1 species